UCGCGUUUUUCAGAUCGCGUUUUUCAGUUUUCUCCUCUCCUCUACCUCACUUCACGUUGAACCUCUCUCAGAUCUCGAUUUUGCUUCACUGCUUCUCAGCCUCUCUCAGAUCGCGAUUUGAUGGAUUGAAACCUCUCUCAGCGAUGGCGAACUCCAUUCUCAGAAGCAAAGCUCACGCAAAUCGCGUUCCAGAUUGAACCUCAGUCAUGGAUUGAAGGAAUUAGGGCUUUUAGAUUUCAGAUUCACAUUCUCAUCUCUCUCUCUCUUGAACCUGCUGUGCCCUCGGUUCUCACUCAGAUUCUCGUAUUGGGUUUCAGUUUCUUCUCCUGGUAGCUUUGAUUGAAGGGCUCAGGCACUUGGAGCUAAAUUCACAUUUUACAAUUCCUUGUUGUGUGUACUGUGUACAGUAGACUGAUUUUCAUCUUGCUGGAGCCUUGGGAUUGCUUAGAAUUCUCAUAGACAAGGAAAAGGGAGCUGAUCUGGUGCUGAGGGUCCACAGAGCUACCAUAUGGACACGCACAGAUUUGAUGGUUGCUAGGUGAAUUUGGCAGAGUUUCUCAUUAGCUGCGGACUGCGGUUGUUUCUAUAUUGUUUCCAUUUAUCACCUAAGAGAAGUGUGUUUAAUUAAAUUUUCAAACUCAUGUAAGGAUGUAACAGAAGGGGAAAUUAAUCAGGGACUGCUAAGUUAGUUAGAUGAGUUAUAAAUAGAGGGAAAUCAAAUGAGAGGAACACAUUACGUAGCAUUAUAUAUCUCUCAUUAAGUAUGUCCUUUAGUAUCUGAAAAUAUUGCUGAAGUAUGGUAUUGAACAUGUCUUAAUCACAAGAGAAAGUUCUUC